UACGUAGGGACCAAGCGUUGUUCGGAUUUACUGGGCGUAAAGGGCGCGUAGGCGGCAAUUCAAGUCAGCUGUGAAAUCUCCGAGCUUAACUCGGAACGGUCAGCUGAUACUGUUUUGCUAGAGUGCAGAAAGGGCAACCGGAAUUCUUGGUGUAGCGGUGAAAUGCGUAGAUAUCAAGAGGAACACCUGAGGCGAAGGCGGGUUGCUAGGCUGACACUGACGCUGAGGCGCGAAAGCUAGGGGAGCGAACGGG
rnacentral:rRNA from 1 species